AAAAAUGCUUUCUACACUACUCUAAUUACUAAGCACCCCUAAUGGGCCUUUAUGUAACAAUUACAAAAAGGUCUUCUCUUCCCAAAACCGUAGCUUUGACCCAUGUGUAUGUGAAGCUAGACGGUCUAGAAGGAAUCCUCAUCAUGGCCUAGACGCUCCUUAUGUAGCCGCUCCUCAUAAUGGCCUAGACGCUCCUCUUCAUGGGCUAGACGCUCCUUUUUGAGUCUAGACGCUCCUCAUCAUAGGCUAGACCGUCUAGUCUUGGAGGCUUGGCUUUCAUCGUGUGGUGAGCUUGGG
rnacentral:lncRNA from 1 species